rnacentral:rRNA from 1 species
GCCACAAAGCUAGCUCAAACACAACAAAAAAAUUUAUACUAUAUAUUAUUAUAAACAAACCUAAACAAAAAAAUCAAAUCAUUUGACCCUCCCAGUACGGGCGACGGAAAAGAGUCUCCUGAAGCAAUAAAGAAAGUACCGCAAGGGAAAGCUGAAAAAGAAAUGAAACAACCCGUAAAAGCAAAGAAAAGCAAAGAUUAAACCUUGU